UCGAGUUAGGGUCCGUUCGGGCCCCUUCUCCAACCCGUGCCUACUUUACCUGUUGCUUCGGCGGGCCCGUCCUUGACCGGACCGCCGGGGAUCUCGGUCCCUGGCCCGUGCCCGUCAGUAGCCCCCCUCAACUCGGAUGAACACGUUGUCUAAGUCGAUAACAAGCACAA
rnacentral:misc_RNA from 1 species